GACGAACGCUGGCGGCGUGCCUAAUACAUGCAAGUUGAGCGCUGAAGGUUGGUACUUGUACCAACUGGAUGAGCAGCGAACGGGUGAGUAACGCGUGGGGAAUCUGCCUUUGAGCGGGGGACAACAUUUGGAAACGAAUGCUAAUACCGCAUAAAAACUUUAAACACAAGUUUUAAGUUUGAAAGAUGCAAUUGCAUCACUCAAAGAUGAUCCCGCGUUGUAUUAGCUAGUUGGUGAGGUAAAGGCUCACCAAGGCGAUGAUACAUAGCCGACCUGAGAGGGUGAUCGGCCACAUUGGGACUGAGACACGGCCCAAACUCCUACGGGAGGCAGCAGUAGGGAAUCUUCGGCAAUGGACGAAAGUCUGACCGAGCAACGCCGCGUGAGUGAAGAAGGUUGUCGGAUCGUAAAACUCUGCUGGUAGAGAAGAACGUUGGUGAGAGUGGAAAGCUCAUCAAGUGACGGUAACUACCCAGAAAGGGACGGCUAACUACGUG
rnacentral:rRNA from 1 species